GAUGAACGCUAGCGGCAGGCUUAAUACAUGCAAGGCGAGGGGGCAGCAAUGUCACCGUCGUACGGGUGCGUAACGCGUAUGCAACCUACCUUCAACUGGGGGAUAGCCCGGGGAAACCCGGAUUAAUACCGCAUACACUCUACGGAGAAAAGCUGGGGACCUUCGGGCCUGGCGCUUUAAGAAUAGCCUGCGUCCGAUUA
rnacentral:rRNA from 1 species